GCGAGAGUGAAGAUGGGUUCUAUCCAAGGGAUCGGGACAAGGGGGCUGGGAGGGCAUCAGACUGGGAGGACAUCAGACUGGGAGGGCAUCAGGCUGGGAGGGCAUCAGGCUGGGAGGACAUCAGACUGGGAGGGCAUCAGACUGGGAGGGCAUCAGGCUGGGAGGGCAUCAGGCUGGGAGGACAUCAGACUAGGAAGACAUCAGACUGGGAGGACAUCAGGCUGGGAAGACAUCAAGCUGGGAGGGCAUCAGGCUGGGAGGGCAUCAGGCUGGGAGGACAUCAGACUGGGAGGACAUCAGACUGGGAGGACAUCAGACUGGGAGGACAUCAGACUGGGAGGGCAUCAGGCUGGGAGGACAUCAGACUGGGAGGGCAUCAGGCUGGGAGGACAUCAGACUGGGAGGACAUCAGACUGGGAGGACAUCAGACACUUCCCUGAAACAUGUGUGGUACGUCCACUCAUCUCACUUCGGCCUUUCGUUUGACCCACUCUGAGUCAAGUUAGAGCCCACCAGCCACAAUACUUUCAGCCCACCAGCCACUAUACUUUCAGCCCACCAGCCACUAUACUUUCAUUUGAAACUGACCACAGUAUUUAAGUGGCACUUUCGCCAAUGUAUUUACAAUGACAGACUGUAAUCGAUAUUAGGGGAGGAGCAGGAGCAUAAAUGUAUUUACAAUGACAGACUGUAAUCGCCAAUGUAUUUACAAUGACAGACUGUAAUCG
ensembl:lncRNA